GACGGGUAUCUGGGACUUCGAUUUAUUUUGAAUCGAUGCCCUACCGUCUUGAUGAAUCAACAGGCCUUAUUGAUUAUGAUAUGCUUGAGAAAACUGCCACCCUCUUUCGACCAAAACUCAUCAUUGUUGGUGCUAGUGCUUAUCCUCGUGAUUUAGAUUAUCCUCGAAUGAGAAAGAUUCUGUUGGGGCUUUUCUCAUGAUGGAUAUGGCUCACAUAAGUGGUCUCGUUGCUGCA